GCUCAGAUUGAACGCUGGGCGGCGUGCUUAACACAUGCAAGUCGAACGCGAAAGGGACUUCGGUCCUGAGUAAAGUGGCGCACGGGUGAGUAACGCGUGGAUAAUCUGCCCUUAUGAUUGGAAUAACAGUUGGAAACGGCUGCUAAUACCGGAUACGCUCAAAAUGAACUUUUUGAGGAAAGAUGGCCUCUGCUUGCAUGCUAUCGCAUAAGGAUGAGUCCGCGUCCCAUUAGCUUGUUGGCGGGGUAACGGCCCACCAAGGCAACGAUGGGUAGCCGAUUUGAGAGGAUGAUCGGCCACACUGGAACUGAAACACGGUCCAGACUCCUACGGGAGGCAGCAGUGGGGAAUAUUGCGCAAUGGGCGAAAGCCUGACGCAGCGACGCCGCGUGAGGGAUGAAGGUUUUCGGAUCGUAAACCUCUGUCAGAAGGGAAGAAACUACGUUGUGCUAAUCAGCAGCGACUGACGGC
rnacentral:rRNA from 1 species